UUUUGCAGAAAAACGCACCGGAAGAGCGCUUCGCGACCGCAGCCGCUCUCCUCCUGGAACUGGCCGAGGAAGUUUUCUGGCGGGGGCGGCGCUUGGGAAAUCCCACGUGGGCCUGGAAACGGACCAAAUUUAGGAGUUGCAAGAAGUCCGCCUGGGGUUUGAAAGGGGAAGGAGGCGCGCACGCACCACAACGCCGCCCUGGCCUCGGAUGCGGGCGGUGGACAAAGUCACUCCGCUUCUCCUUUUUUUUUUUUUUUGCAAUGGGGCGCUCGCUGCAAAGCAAGUAGGGGAGCAUGGAAAGCUACGGCGGCAAGCUGGGCAGAGCGGGGAGUCUGUGGCAGGACCCCCUGGCCAUCGCCCUCACCCCCAGCAAGCCCGUGUCGGCGGGGAGCCAAGACAGCCGCGGGGGCAACGGCCGGAGCCGAGCCUUGAGCGUCGUCCUCGUCUUCACCGAGGAUCUCACCGAGCCGCUGCCUCUCCGGUGCUUGGAAGACGCCUGCAGGGAGAUCCCGGCGGCAGAGCUGACGGUCGUGCCCUUCGGUACCGUGGCCCUGGGCGACAUGGGCGCCUUGGACAGUUUUUAUAACGCAGAUGUGGUUGUGGUGGAGAUGAGCAACAGGCUGUGCCACCCCUCCCUGUUUUACCACCUGGGGGUCCGCGAGAGCUUCAGCAUGACCAAUAACAUCCUCCUGUGCUGUUACACUGACUUGCCAGAGCUGCAGGCCCUCCGGGAGGAGAUUUUCCACAAGAAUUCUGAUUGCAACUGCAGCUACACGUUCAUCCCUUACAUGGUGACAGCUCAGGACAAGGUUUUCUGUUGCGACUCCAGUGUCAUGAUGUGCCUAAGUGAGUUCUACCAGCCCAACUUCAAUAGGGAAACCUUCUUCACACCGUUGACUGAACAGCUUGCCAAACUGCUUGAGGGCACAUCUGUCAACUCCUGCGGCUAUUUCCGAGAGAUGAUCCGAAGCGACAUCCGAAGGGCUCGAGAAAGAUACAGCGGGGCUCAGCUGAGUCACGAACUGACCAGCAUUCAGCAACGCCUAGACAGUGUGGAAUGCCUCAGCCUUGACAUUGUCAUGAAUUUUCUCCUGGCCUAUCGCGAUGCACAGGAUUUUGAUGCCAUCAUCACUCUGGUGGAGACCUUGCAGGCCCUGCCCACUUGCGACAUUGCUGAGCAACAUAACAUCUGCUUCCACUAUGCCUUCGCUCUUGACAGGCGGAACCAGCCCGGCGACCGUGAGAAGGCGCUCUCUGUUCUUCUGCCACUGGUGGAAAGGCCUGAAGGAGUGGCGCCUGACCUGUGCUGCAUUUGCGGCCGCAUCUACAAAGACAUGUUCAUCGAUUCUGGCUUCACGGAUGCUGAGAAGCGGGACCAGGCUUUUUACUGGUACCACAAGGCCUUCUUAACGGAACCCAGCCUGCAUGCAGGGAUUAACUCUGUGGUCUUCCUCAUGGCUGCUGGGCACAAGUUUGAAACCUCCGUGCAGCUCCGGCAAAUAGGUAUGAAGCUGAGCUGUGUCCUUGGCCACAAGGGCUGCUUAGAGAAGAUGGAGCAUUAUUGGGAUGUUGGUUUUUAUCUGGGCGCAAGCAUUCUGGCUGCUGACAUGGACAAAAUCAUUCAGGCCUCAGAAAGACUUUACAAGCUCAACGCCCCUGUUUGGUAUCUGAAUUCCAUAAAAGAAACAUACACCAUAUACAGUCACUUCAAGACUGCUCCAGAUACAUGGUCGCCUAAACAGGAGCUGGUCGAUUUCUGGUUGGGGUUCUUGAUGGAGUCAUGCCAGACCUUUGUCUCCACUGAGCAAUGCCCGGUGCUGAUCUUAGAGCUGGCCAGAGUGCUGCAACCCUCCCAGCUCAGUGUCUGCAACACAGAGGACAAGAGGUCCGUGACGCUGAGCAACAUCUGCUCCCUGGAGGAGGAAGGGAUUUCGACCUGGACAUUUCCAGCAUCUUCCAUCCGUGGAGUCAGCAUCUCCAAAUGUGAUGAGAGGUGCUGCUUCCUGUAUGUAUUGCACACGGCUGAGGACUUCCAACUAUGUUUUCCCAAUCAGUAUCACUGCCGCUGGUUUUGUGAAUUGCUCCGUUCUUUCAUGUCAGAAGCCGGUGAGGAAGAUAACAGCUGCAGCUCCCCAGAGGAACUAGAAUACGAUUAUGAAUACACUGAAUCAGGCAACAGGGUGAUUCUGGGCAAGGGCACCUAUGGUGUAGUCUAUGCCGGGCGAGACCUCAGCAAUCAGGUGCGCAUCGCCAUCAAAGAGAUUCCGGAGCGGGACAGCAGGUACUCACAGCCCCUUCAUGAAGAGAUUGCUCUCCACAAGCGUCUGAAGCACAAGAACAUUGUCCGGUACCUGGGCUCCGUCAGCCAAAGUGGCUUCCUCAAGAUCUUCAUGGAAGAGGUACCUGGAGGCAGUCUUUCCUCUCUCUUGCGUUCUAUGUGGGGCCCUCUGAAGGACAACGAACCAACCAUCAUUUACUACACCAAACAGAUCCUAGAGGGACUGCGCUACCUGCAUGACAACCAGAUUGUCCAUAGAGACAUCAAGGGAGAUAACGUCUUGAUCAACACGUACAGCGGAGUGUUAAAAAUUUCUGACUUUGGCACCUCCAAGAGGUUGGCAGGGAUCAGCCCCAAGGCAGAGACCUUCACAGGUACCUUGCAGUACAUGGCUCCGGAAGUCAUCGAUCAGGGACCCCGAGGUUAUGGCAAACCAGCAGAUAUCUGGUCCCUGGGGUGUACCAUCAUAGAGAUGGCAACAGGGAAGCCCCCUUUCUUUGAGCUGGGCAGCCCACAGGCCGCCAUGUUCAAGGUAGGCAUGUUCAAGAUACACCCUGAAGUGCCCAGCUCCAUGUCGGUUGUGGCCAAGUCCUUUAUCCUGAGUUGUUUUGAAGCUGACCCAGACAAGCGCGCAACAGCUGCUGCAUUACUUCAGGAGUCUUUCUUGAAGGCGUCCAGUAGGAAGAAAUCGAAGAGCCCGAGCCCAACUGUGACAGAUGACCCAGCAGCGUCUGCCACACCUGAAAAGUUGACUUCGCUUGAGGGCGUUGUGGAGCUCAGCAGCCACUCCCUCUCCUCACAGGCGUCCCAGCCACAGACAGAGAAUAUUUUCUUAUCUCCGAAUUCCAGUGGGGUGAUCCAAAGUUCCACUCACUUACGGACUCCAGAGGAACUGGCCAAUUUUGACCUCAACCUGUCCUCUUCUUCCCAUGAGGAGAGUGGUUGUUUGUUCUUGCUGAAGAAGGACAGCGAGCGGAGAGCCACCCUCCACAAAGUCUUGACGGAGGAGCUAUCCAGCAUUGCCUCUGCAAUACAUGAGGCCCAGGAUCAGAGUCCCUUGUCGUUGGAGCACAUCUCGGAGUUGGUGUCCUGCCUCAAGAGCUACAUCCGCUCCCCCAAUCGCAAGCAGCUCGCCCAGGGCCUCCUGCAGCUCCAGCUCCACCUGCAAGCUGAUCAGCUCAGCCUGUGUCACCUGCAGGCUCCGCUCUUCACCUUCCAAGACACUGUGAAGCAGGCACUACGGAAGCUGCAGAUUAAGCCGCACUGGGUGUUUGCACUGGACAACCUCAUGGGGCAGGCGGUCCAAGCAGCUUUCACUGUUCUCUUGAAAGACCUCAAAGUGAAGCCAUUGCUCUCACUCGAGAAAGGCUGUGGACCGCCCAUCAAUGAGGAAGAGGAGGAAGAAGGGGCACUUUCGAUGCAGGACGAGCCACCUUCAUUCCAAAACCUCGGCAAAACUGUGAAGGGCAGCUCAGACACACCAAGCUCUGGAAUCGGCACCAGCAGCAAUGGCAGCUGGCUGGACUCCCAACACCCCCUGAAGAGCCGUGGGUCCCUCUUUGCCCAGCUGGGCCAUCUGCAGGCAGAGACACAAAGAUUGCAGUGGGAACUGAUGAAGAAGGAGCAUGAAUGCCAGAGACUCCUUCAAGAGGCAUUGCAGCGCAUGGAAAAGGAUGUCUGGGUUCUAAGAGAGGCCAAGCCAAUAGGAAUUUCUAGCUCUCGCUUACCUCAUCUCUUGAGGAGAGAAGAAGAGGCUGUAGACCUCCUGCUUGUUGAGUGGCUGGAGCAGCACGGGGUAGACAAAGACUCCAUCACAACGCUUAUGGACCACGGCUUCACUUUGCCCAUCUUGUUGAACUGUGCUACCAAAGACGACCUCCGGUAUACCUGCAUCAGAGGCGGAAUGGUGUGCUGCAUCUGGAGGGCCAUCACAGAACACCGGCAAAGCCACGCCCAGCAUUCCAGAGCAGAGUGAGAGGACAGGGCGGACAAUGUCUCGAGCCAUACAGGCCCCACUAUUGGUAGACUGUAUCCUUGCAAAGCUGCAAGGAAGCUCAACGGCAGAAAGCUCAAUCCCCAUCUUGCCUCAGUGAAAGGCGGCUGCUUAAAUCUCAUCUACUGUUCGGUGAGAAAAGUCUGCUCCAGCUUCCCCUGCCGGAAACAAGGCCUGAAGGAAACCUCGCCCGGAGUCCAUUUCUGCAGAUGAGGGAAAAGGGGGGUAUUCCUUCCCCAGGCCAGAAUUUGCAAGAGAGGCAGAGGGGUUCUGAGCUACGCUGCAAUGUUGCACCCAGGGCUGCUCUUAGCAGAGCAGCAAACACUCCCUGCUUGCUACAAGCUGUGGGUUAUGAGCCUCACUCGGCAGCAAAGGCCGCAGCUGAAAAACACGACUGUCAUCGGGAGAAAGAGAUGACCGAAACACUCGCGGGCCUAACCUGAAGAGCAGAAAGGAGGCCAGGAUGGCUGAAGGAGUGGACGAAGGGGUGUUCUACUGCAGACUAACCGGGGAGAGGAUUAAGUCCUAUGGCUCAAAUUGGUCCGCACAGGAAGGCCGGCUUCCACCCACUGGCCUGUCUUGUUGAACACCGUCUCCCAUACGUGGCGUUCUUCUUCGGUUGAAUCCAUCCAGGCCACUGGCAGUCCAUAGCUCUUGCCUACAUUAAAAAAAAAAGAUCUGUGAGACAUCAUGGGAUCAAUCAAGAGAUCCACUGACAGCGACCAGCCAUAUUUAGAACUUCCAUCGUUGGAAGCAGUCGGUUGCUGAAUACCAGUGCUAAGAGGUAGCAGCAAGGCAGGGCCUCGGCCUCUACAUCCUGUUUGUUGAACUUCCAGAGCAACUUGGUAUAUGUAACAAGGUGCUGGACUAGAUGCAUCACUGGUCUGAUCCAGCAGGGCUGUUCCUAAUCUUUUGGCAGUAGGAGACUCUGAUUUAUCUAGGACUGGCAGGGGCUACUAGAUACAAGACAUACUUGGCUGCCUCUUAUGCAUGUUGGCAUGAGUGUAGCCACAGGCUAAAAUUUUAUUUAUUAAAACAUUUAUACCCCA